rnacentral:snRNA from 1 species
UGUUUUGAUUCACUUGAUAAC